UGGGGAAUAUUGGACAAUGGGGGAAACCCUGAUCCAGCAAUGCCGCGUGAGUGAUGAAGGCCCUAGGGUUGUAAAGCUCUUUUACCCGGGAAGAUAAUGACUGUACCGGGAGAAUAAGCCCCGGCUAACUCCGUG
rnacentral:rRNA from 2 species